rnacentral:tRNA from 1 species
GGGGAUAUAGCUCAAAAGGGAGAGCGCGGCGUUCGCAAUGCCGAGGUUGGGGGUUCGAUUCCCCCUAUCUCCACCA